CUCGGUCCAGAGGCGCCGCUGCGCCCAGGAGGCCGAGCAGGUUGGCCCGGCGCCGGCUCCGAGCGUCCGGCCUGUGCGCGCAGAGCCGCGCGGGAGGGUCGGCGGGGCGGCCCCGGGGCGAGAGCGCACGGCGGGUGUGAGCUCUGAGGGCGGGGCCCCGGGCGAGUCCCCUCAGGCGGCUGCAGCCUGGGGACAGCACGUGGGGCAAGUAACUCCUGAUACCGCCUGGGAUGAGCUGGUUUAUUCAGUGUCUGUUAGCUGCGUUUAAAAGAUAGGUGUCAGUAAUCUAAGUGGAAAGGGAAUGGUGAACUACCAUAGGACCCAGCUAUCCCACUACUGGGUAUCUCUUCAAAGAGCUUGAAGUCAGCAAUUCCAAAAGUCCUGUGCACCCCAAUGUUUAUUGCAGCAUUAUUUACAAUAGCCAAGACAUGGAAACAACCUAAGUGCUUCCAUGGAUAAAGAAGUUGUGACAGUUUCUGAGGGAAGAACCAUCAACAGCUUUUACUUAUUGCUGGAAGAAAGCGGCAAUCAGUGGAUGAGAAAGGAAAGUCUGAGUGAGUUCUACUUUCUUUAAGUCUCCAAAUGGACACUUAAGGGGGAAAAUGCUGAUCCAGAGCAAUGGCUGACAGUGUUCCGGAUUAAGUGAGAGCCUAUUCAUCCUCUAACAUGUAAGACUGAUUGGGAAACAGCUCUAUAUUUGUUUUCUAGAAAGACUCCACAGUUUAUACUUGUGGCCAACUAAUGUUACAUUUUGUCAUUCUUACUAAUUUUUUAUAGCAAUACCUCUUGCUCUUGAUGUCUCAAUACUUUACCUAAAAAUGCUCAUAAUUUCUAAUGGUAGAUCCAGGGAUAUUGUUAUUAUUGUUGUUGUCAUUAUCAGUAUUUUAAAGUACCAUUUAUUGAAAAUCUAUUAUUUGCCAGGUACUGUAAUACAAUUUAUCUUAAAACUCCAUGGAGAAGAGAUUGUUAUCAAACUGAGGUUUAUGAAGGAUUAUGCCUCUUGCCCAAGGCCAUAUAUGGCCUUCAACCUUUGGAUUUAAAACAGUGGCAGGGUAGAGAUUAAAACCCAAGUCAAAGCCCACACUCUUUGCCACUAUCCUGUACUCAUCUCGGGCCCCUGCUAAUCCAAGGCUUGGUUUACAUGGACUCUGGAGCCAUUAGGACUUAAAAGUUUAUUAGACACACAAAGUGAGAACAUCUUUCUUUCUUUCUUUCUUUCUUUCUUUAUUUAUUUAUUUUUGCAGGGGAAGAUUUGCCCUAAGCUAGCGUCUGUUGCCAAUCUUCCUCAUUUUUUCUUCGUUUUUUCCUCCCAAAGUCCCCAGUACAUAGUUGUGUAUAGUUGUAAGUUCUUCUGGUUCUUCUAAGUGUGCCAGCACCAUAGCAUGGCUACUGACAAAUGAGUCGUCUGGUUCUGUGCCUGGGAACUGAACCCAGGCUGCUGAAGUGGAGCACGCUGAACUUGAACUGCUAGGACAUCAGGCUGGCUCUAGAGAGCAUCCUUAAAACUGGGGAAAACAGAACAGGUUUUUGAAAUGGAGAAUCCUUUAAUUGUAAUUCUUUCCUCCUUUAAUUCCAGUGGAGAAUUUAGAGCCCCAUUAUCUUCCUUUCAGCUUUAACUGUUACAGGCAAAUAGAUUCAUUAAGUAAUGAAGUCCGGUUCUCCACCCAAGCCCUGCUCCCUGCCUUGCCAGGAACGGGGCUGGUGGAGUACACAGGGGCGCCCGCAGGAUUUGAGCCUCAUUCUAACUUUUCCCUUUUGUGGUCAGCUCACAGUAACUACCAGGUUUUGAAGUCCUUACUGUAUUCCAGCUGCUAUGCUAUGAUCUUUAGGUAGGAUAUUUCAUUUCAUUCUCACAACAACCUUAUGUCUACACAAAAUAACCCAUAACCAGUCUAUAGGUUAGAGAGAUAAGCUGAGUUUUACUUGAGCCAAGUUGAGGAUUAUAACCUGGGAAGGCAGUUUCCACAAAGGAAGAAAAUGUUCCAGAGAAGCAUGGUUUUCAGUACAGUUUUAUAGCUUUUUAGAACAAAGAACAUACCUUAAACAUGCCCAGGAUACAUACUCAUCAAAGUUUCAAAGAGGUAUUCAGUUAAAAAUUAGCAGGUCAACCUGACCCUGAUGUCCAGGAAAGGGAAGUUAUCUUCAGAGUGCUGAUAUGGGUGUUACUAAUAGGGAAUUACUGACACUGGAUACUGGCUGAGACUGGCAUUGUAGGAGGGGGCGUAUGCAUUCUUGUAAGAGAAUGCAUUCUUUAACAGUUAAAGCAGAUGUACAAUGUGUGUUUGAUAGGCAGUAAGUCAAGCUUCCUUAGUUCAAGCCAAAUCAGUUUUGAACCAGAAUGGCUACCCCAUAUACACAAUAUGUGAAAAUCUCAUAUCACUUAUGAAGUAGGUGUUGAUAUGACUCACAUCAAUGAAGUCUGAGAACAGAAAUUGAGCAGCUCCAGAACUAGAGCCCUAGGUGGUCAGACUCUAAAACUAAUCUCCGCUCUACAUUGUAAAUUUUUCUUGAAUCAAUAAUGAUUUCUCUUGCUCCUAUUUGGU
ensembl:lncRNA